rnacentral:rRNA from 1 species
CGGGGUGCACCAGGCGCGAAAACUUUACAAUGCCGGCAACGGCGAUAAGGGAACCUCGAGUGCCAGGUUACAAAUCUGGCUGUCGUGAUGCCUAAAAAGCAUUGCAUAGCAAGGGCCGGGCAAGACCGGUGCCAGCCGCCGCGGUAACACCGGCGGCUCGAGUGGUAACCGUUAUUAUUGGGUCUAAAGGGUCUGUAGCCGGCCGGAUAAGUCUCUUGGGAAAUCUGGCAGCUUAACUGUCAGGCUUUCAGGAGAUACUGUCUGGCUCGAGGCCGGGAGAGGUGAGAGGUACUUCAGGGGUAGGGGUGAAAUCUUGUAAUCCUUGAAGGACCACCAGUGGCGAAGGCGUCUCACCAGAACGGACCUGACGGCAAGGGACGAAAGCUAGGGGCACGAACCGGAUUAGAUACCCGGGUAGUCCUAGCCGUAAACGAUACUCGCUAGGUGUCGGCCACGGUGCGACCGUGGUCGGUGCCGUAGGGAAGCCGUGAAGCGAGCCACCUGGGAAGUACGGCCGCAAGGCUGAAACUUAAAGGAAUUGGCGGGGGAGCACAAGGGCGAAUCGC